ensembl:lncRNA
UUAAUCUACCUUUUAGCACGACUAUUUGAAGUUUUGUGCUGCUGAUUUUUAGUAGUUGAUCACUAUUUCUUACCGCUGAAUCCCAAGACUGUUAUUUCUGACUUUGCAGGAGUAAAAUUCAGUUUGGAGUUGUUUUGUACAAAAAAAAAAAAAAAAAAGAACGGAGUAUUUUGUAAACAAGUGAUUUCCAGUGCAAAAGUCUGCCCUUAAAAUUUGUUCCAGCUGAGGCCAUUUGAAGGGGAAGAGACUCUUCCUUCAAUUAGCAGCAGGCACAGCCUUUAUAAACAUUCCUAGUGCAAAAAUUGAGUUGUUUGUGGCAGAGCAGCCCAGGCCAAACACACUGGCCGUGCUCAGCCUUUCAGGGUGACUCUCAAACAAGGUCAUACAUUUAUUUAAAAAUACUUAUCUUGCUUCUUAUAAAAAGAAGAUAUCUUUGUGAAGCAAUGUUAGAGGCAGGAAUACAACUUUUAACUUUUUUAGCAGAGUAAUAGCCAAGAGCUCUUAAAGAUUCCCUGGAGUAAAACACAAAGUAUUUGCCAUUCGAGCUCAGACUCCCUGAGCUUUUAUCAUGCUGUUAUCACUCUACAAUUACUGCAUUGCCACCAAAAUAGGAACCAAAACACCGGCUAAAAGAUCCAAGCUUCUCCUUGCAAGCUCCAGCUUAGGGCUCGAUUGAUCCUGCUACAGAACUUUCCCCGUUCCCAGUCACAAGCCACGCGUGGCCAGCACUUUGAGAGCAGUGGGAUUUCCAUUUCCAGGGGCUGGAGGGCACGAGGAGAGCUCUGUGAUCCCACAGCUGGGGGGUCCAGAGAGCCCAGCCAGCCCCUGGAAGUUUUCCCUGUGUGGGGAAUGCAGCGGGAGCCCCGCUUGGCAUUUCUCGUUUGGCAGCUAUAAGACAGGCACGGAGGCUUUUUUUUUUUUUUUUUUCCUUUUUUUUUCUUUUUUUUUGGGAGGGUGAUGUUUGAUUGUAAAUGACUGUGACAGAACUGUGCAAUGAAAACAUGCUUUUCAGCAAACUUUUUUUUUGUGCACCGUACAAUGUUAGAUAGCACAAUUUAUGUAGAAUUACUACGUGGAAAACAAAAAAACAAAAAAACAUGUUACCUGUGAAUGUUGGGUUUUUCGUUGUUCUCGUCUGAAGGUGACAAACAUGUUCUUGCAAUAAGGUAUUAUUCUCAGAAUGUCAAGCACAUUAUGUAGAAAUAAUAUAUAUAUAUAAUACACAUGUAUUUCAAACUACAUCCUAAACUCUCGGAGUAUGUUGGAUAGGUUCUAAACUGUUUCAUACCUAGGUCAAAUGUAAAAUACUACGAGAUCUAAGCUCCAUCCUAAACGGCCAUAGCUGAGAUGCAAACGUCCUGUAAGUCUUUGGGAUUUAGAGGAACCCCCACACCCUACAGACAUCACACAUGAUACAUCAUACUUGUGAAUUUCAUUAGACUAAGGAUAAAAACUCCAACUUUCUCUUUAUUGUUUAAUGUAACCGAGUCCCAUGUUGUUCUAAGAAAAAUGCAGUAUUUAAUGUUUGAUUGUAAACAAUUAUGACAGAUGUUUGACAGACCUGCUCUUUAGCAAAAAGCUGUACAAACGUUAUCACAUAGCACAAACUAGUGUUGUAGAACUACUGUGUGUAAACUGUGAAUAGCUGUAUCUUUUUUGUAGUACUUGCCCUGAAAAAGAAAGAUUAUUGUAUGAUCAUAUAUGCUUUUUGCAAUAAGGAAAUAUCCAACACCAAGCAAAUCUAUCUCUAUAUAAAAAUAUAUAUGUAAUAUAUACAUAUUCAAAAAUAUAUACAGAGCCUGUUUAAAAGAGUACAGUAUUAUUUAGUAAAUUGCAACCUGUUCUAUGGACCAAAUGUAAAAUAUUUAUAAAUUAAGAUGCAUUUUAAAUGUCUAUAAACGGUGUCAUAAUUAAAGCACGAUUGUUAUGUAAGUUUCCAAGAGUUUAGAGGAAAAAGAAUAAAGGUUAUAUUAUACAUUAAAUUCAGAAUUUUUGCAGUCUUUCAUUGGACAAACCCAAUCUGUGCUACUUUCAAGCUCCAAAUGUGCCAUUUAUAUUAAAAAUAUCCUUUAAACACCGAAACGCUGCAUCCCACUUGUGACGUGUAUAAUUAAUCCACGCCAUUCCCACGGUGU